rnacentral:rRNA from 1 species
ACACUCCUGCGGGAGGCAGCAGUGGGGAAUUUUGGACAAUGGGCGAAAGCCUGAUCCAGCAAUGCCGCGUGUGUGAAGAAGGCCUUCGGGUUGUAAAGCACUUUUGUCCGGAAAGAAAUCCUUGGCUCUAAUACAGUCGGGGGAUGACGGUACCGGAAGAAUAAGCACCGGCUAACUACGUGCCAGCAGCCGCGGUAAUACGUAGGGUGCGAGCGUUAAUCGGAAUUACUGGGCGUAAAGCGUGCGCAGGCGGUUUGCUAAGACCGAUGUGAAAUCCCGGGCUCAACCUGGGAACUGCAUUGGUGACUGGCAGGCUAGAGUAUGGCAGAGGGGGGUAGAAUUCCACGUGUAGUAGUGAAAUGCGUAGAGAUGUGGAGGAAUACCGAUGGCGAAGGCAGCCCCCUGGGCCAAUACUGACGCUCAUGCACGAAAGCGUGGGGAGCAAACAGGAUUAGAAACCCUAGUAGUCCCAUG